GAAGAACCUGGGGAAUUUGAC
rnacentral:misc_RNA from 1 species